GAACAAAUCACCUAGGAAUCUUGUAGAAAUGCAGAUUCUGGCUCGGCAGGUCUGGCCUAGGGCCUGGGGUUCUGCAUUUUUAACAAGCUCCCAGGUGAUGCUGCU
rnacentral:pre_miRNA from 1 species